UAGCUAAGUGCGGAAGAGAUAAGUGCUGAAAGCAUCUAAGCACGAAACUUGCCCCGAGAUGAGUUUUCCCUGACCCCUUGAGGGUCCUGAAGGGACGUUGAAGACGACGACGUUGAUAGGCCGGGUGUGUAAGCGCAGCGAUGCGUUGAGCUAACCGGUACUAAUGACCCGUGAGGCUUAACCUUACAACGCCAGAGGCGUUUUG
rnacentral:rRNA from 1 species